GACGAACGCUGGCGGCGUGCCUAACACAUGCAAGUCGAGCGAGAAUCUAUUAAUUGAUUCCUUCGGGAUGAUUUUGAUAGAGGAAAGCGGCGGACGGGUGAGUAACGCGUGAGUAACCUGCCUUAUGGAGGGGGACAACAGUUGGAAACGACUGCUAAUACCGCAUAAUAUGUUUUUACCGCAUGAUAGAAACAUCAAAGAUUUAUCGCCAUAAGAUAGACUCGCGUCUGAUUAGAUAGUUGGUGAGGUAACGGCUCACCAAGUCGACGAUCAGUAGCCGAACUGAGAGGUUGAUCGGCCACAUUGGGACUGAGACACGGCCCAGACUCCUACGGGAGGCAGCAGUGGGGGAUAUUGCACAAUGGGGGAAACCCUGAUGCAGCAACGCCGCGUGAAGGAAGAAGGUCUUCGGAUUGUAAACUUUUGUCUUUGGGGACGAAUAAAAUGACGGUACCCAAGGAGGAAGCCACGGCUAACUACGUGCCAGCAGCCGCAGUAAGAC
rnacentral:rRNA from 1 species